ACAGCCCUGUGUCUCCUAGCCAUGUGACAAUCUGAAGGAAGUCACAUGAGCCACGAGCCCCAGUGUCCUUCGGCUGACUCUCUCAAUGCUGUGAGAAUUAACCAGAAACUGAUUCCCUCUGGUGCUGAUUCCUGCUGCUCUCACGGAAUUCACUCUGCAAACGGAAUCAGUGGCUCCUGCUCUUCAAUUGAACUAAACCUACUUUUCUCGGAAAGUGAAAAACAAGAUCGAUUUUGAGAGCACAGUGCCCGGGAGAUUUUAAAAAGCACAAAUCGUCCUAAGUCAGUGCAGGUGUCCUUGUAAUGAGGACAGAGGGACAGUAGCAUUUCUCCAUCUGUCCAUGAGCAAAAGUCGCCUGGGACCUACGAAAUGAGAUGCAGAUUCCGGUGCCACAGGUCGGGAAUCUCAGAGGGGGCAGAAACAACUGGAACAGGCAAUGCAGAUCUUGGGAGCACCUCGCCCUGAACCUGCAAGCAGGAAGUGCAGAGUUAGGAAGAAUAGAACCAUCCCCUCUUCAGUGAAGCUCCGAGCAUCCUGGGACUAGAGGAGCAGGAAGAGAUGAGAUGCCCAGUCCCAGUGGCCUGGCUGCUAUUGUUUUCCAAGUACCAGCUUCACAAGGGGCUGGAGGAUGUAGUCUGGCAACUGUUCAAUCAACAAGGUUGAAUGGUUUGUCUCGACCACAUCUCCUGCCUUGGUAUAUUACCUCACCAGACCCGAAAGCAGUGAAACCACUGGAUCAUGGACGCUAAUCUGGCUCCAAAUGCAAGUCAAAAUAAACCUUUCUCAUUA